GGUCCUAGACAGGAGGCAGUCUGUGGCUUAAGAGUGCGCGGCCCUCUGCUCUGCUCUUCCCCUGUGACCAGCCCCUCCCCCGGCUGGUCUCAGUCACUCCACUCCAGGUUCGCCAGUGCCCCGGGUUCCUCACCUCAUCAUGAAGCGGUGGCUCAGCUUUCACCCCACUUCAGUGUAGCCUGUGACCACAGCAACCAAAGGAACGAGGAGUUUAGAGACCUCCGCCUUGGCGGUCCGGGGAGGCGAAAGACCUCGAAGAUGCAGAGAGACACAGAAAGAUGUCGGACUCAGAUCGAGAGGGCAACAGAGCCACGGGGAGAAGCUGCUGAAUUUUCAGACCUAGAGUCUGCAGAGAAAAAAAUGAGGAAGUGGUGCGAAUGAGCCUGCCCCCCCACCCCAGGCCUUCACACUACCACCCUCCAACUUUGGCCAGGUUGGAAGCCUCGCCCGCCUCACGCUCAUUCCCGGCAAAUUUUCUUCUUUCUAAAGAUGGGAAAACUUAAGCCUACAGAGAUCACAUGGUUUGUCUGAGGUCACACAGAUCAUAAAGAGCAGUGCUGGCGUCUGACCCCCAGAUCUGAAACUUCUAAUACAUUGACUUCUCAGCUCAAAUAUGAUGCUUAUUAAAGGCUUCAGUUUCGUCUGGAAACUGGAAAAUUUCUGGAAAAUGAAGGAGUCUAAUUCUAUGAUCACUGAAGACCCUUCUAGCUCUAAAGCCCGUGGGCUUAUGACCAAUAGUUUCCAUACUCAUAUUUGCUAAGUAGGCGGCUCUGUUCUCUCUUGCCUAAUUGCUACCUGAGGUAGUGGAAUGUACCAAAUUAAGUGGCCUCAUGCCCAGAAAACUCCCCCAGUUCAGGUGUUGUGCCUUUUACCCACAGAGUAGGUGAGAAAACAGAAGCCAGAAGGUGCUCAGCAACAGUUUCCCUCAUGAGACUGGUUGUCCUGCCUUCUAGCCCUCAGGCGUUCCUGCCCCUGGAAGAAAUUCUACUCAUCAGCAAACUCUGUGUCACAAAGGUAUCUCAUGCCUCUGAAAGGUCCAAAUGAAAAGUAGUGUCCCAGGAAAUGGCAAUGUGCUUCAAAGUUUCAGCUGUAUGAUGGGGAAUGAAGUUCUGUUUUUUCUAAUCUAUUCUACUACGUGGUCCUCUUGUAGAAUAUAAUCUCUUUGUCGUCCCAUUGAAGAAGGCACAUCUCUUUGAGGCUUGAGACAAUCCGGGCUUGGACCAGAGUGGUGGCAAUGACAGUAGAGAAACAGAAACUCUGAUCCUACGAGAAGAGUGGGCAGGAUCCGGUGUCCCAUUGGACGUAAGCAAUGAAGGAGACACAAUCAAAGGUGACCUCUUAGGUUUUGCCUCCAGUUUUUAAAGUUGAGGACCUAGAAACAAAAGUCACUUCAGAAGAUGAAUUUAAAAAGAGUCUCUGGACCUGACCUAUGCAAUCACAGAAGAAACUCAUGCUGGAGGGGAAAAAGCGGACAGAAUUUCCAGCUCUUGCCCUCCUCAGGAGAACGUGGGUAUUGGACGCCAAAGGAGCAAGUCAUGCUUGACACAGGAAGUACGUGGUGAACAGGACCUCUUGACAGCCUUUCCAUUAUCCUCUUCAUCAACAGUCUUGUUGGAUUUCUGUUUUGACCCUGCCAGUGUCCCUGACCUCAUUAUCAUCCUACUGGGAAAAAAGAAGCAAAAAAUAACAAUAACAAAAAAAAAAACUGAAAUAAGCCAGAGAACAAAUCCUAGUCCC